rnacentral:rRNA from 1 species
AUUGAACGCUGGCGGCAGGCUUAACACAUGCAAGUCGAACGGUAACAGGCCGCAAGGUGCUGACGAGUGGCGAACGGGUGAGUAAUGCAUCGGAACGUGCCCAGUCGUGGGGGAUAACUAUCCGAAAGGAUAGCUAAUACCGCAUACGAUCUGCGGAUGAAAGCGGGGGACCUUCGGGCCUCGCGCGAUUGGAGCGGCCGAUGUCAGAUUAGGUAGUUGGUGGGGUAAAGGCUCACCAAGCCAACGAUCUGUAGCUGGUCUGAGAGGACGACCAGCCACGCUGGGACUGAGUCACGGCCCAGACGCCUACGGGAGGCAGCAGUGGGGAAUUUUGGACAAUGGGCGCAAGCCUGAUCCAGCAAUGCCGCGUGCAGGAAGAAGGCCUUCGGGUUGUAAACUGCUUUUGUACGGAACGAAACGGCUCUGGUUAAUACCUGGGGCUAAUGACGGUACCGUAAGAAUAAGCACCGGCUAACUACGUGCCAGCAGCCGCGGUAA